rnacentral:lncRNA from 1 species
GUGAUUUUCGCAAAUUGAUGAAACAAUUUUAUCCUCUUAAAAUCCAUUGUAAAUAAUCAAUUCUAUUCGAGACAGGCAAUUAAUAUCAGCACCAACUGUUUUACAAAAAUUUAAAUAGAUAUAACUCAGUGUUACCAACUCUUACAUAUCACCACUGGUUUCAGAAAAGUGUUCAGGUAAUCAAAGCAUACAGCGUAGAAACAGUUCAAGGUUGAGACAGUUUGAAAAUAUUUAGUAAAAAAAUGAGUCUCAUUUGUAAGUUUUUUCACCUUUAAUUAUUAGUUAUCAUUUUUCGAGCUGACAAAUUCUGAAACUGUUACUUUUUUUUGCUAGAUGUAUUUUGCUAAUUGGUUUCAGUUUCUUUUGUCCAUCUAAUUCUUACAUAGCUCAUCAUUUAACGAAAAAUUUAAAAAAUCAUAUUUUACUUUUAUCUUAGGUUUAAAGCUUUUUAUACUUCCUUUUAAUUUGAAUUAUUUUGUCCUAUUUUUUCUUUGAAAGGCAGAUGAGUUCCAGCACAGUUUGCCAGAUGUUUACAACAAAUUCAUCCACUCUGCAAAACAUUUGUCGUAUCAAGCUCUAGCAGAACUGCAUCAGACAUCAAACAAAAUUUGUCCUUUUGGAAAGAAGUAUGUGCAAGAUGCCCUACCUUAUUUUCGAAGUGUGGCUGCAGUCACAUUGAUGAAAGAUGUUUUGAUAAAUCAAAACGUCUCUGAUGUUGUCUUCAAUGAAUGGCUCUUUGCCCUCUCCAUUUUUCCAAGGCCAAAUGAUGAAAUUGUGUCAGUAGCUGUUCCACUAAUGCAACAUUAUCCAGAAAACGAGGCUGUUCUAUUGAGUUUAACAUCCAUGAUUCACUCUUUCUGCAAGUGGAAUUUGUGUGAAAAUGAGCAAAAUGUGAGCAUCAUUACGUUGCACCUACAAAACAUGGUUAAUUCAAGCAUUUUACAAGAAUCCUAUAGUACAGGGGUAAGUGAAUAG